AUUGAACGCUGGCGGCAUGCCUUACACAUGCAAGUCGAACGGUAACAGGUCUUCGGAUGCUGACGAGUGGCGAACGGGUGAGUAAUACAUCGGAACGUGCCUAGUAGUGGGGGAUAACUACUCGAAAGAGUGGCUAAUACCGCAUGAGAUCUACGGAUGAAAGCAGGGGAUCGCAAGACCUUGUGCUACUAGAGCGGCCGAUGGCAGAUUAGGUAGUUGGUGGGAAAAAAGCUUACCAAGCCGACGAUCUGUAGCUGGUCUGAGAGGACGAUCAGCAACACUGGGACUGAGACACGGCCCAGACUCCUACGGGAGGCAGCAGUGGGGAAUUUUGGACAAUGGGCGCAAGCCUGAUCCAGCAAUGCCGCGUGCAGGAUGAAGGCCUUCGGGUUGUAAACUGCUUUUGUACGGAACGAAAAGCCCCGGGUUAAUACCCUGGGGUCAUGACGGUACCGUAAGAAUAAGCACCGGCUAACUACGUGCCAGCAGCCGCAGUAA
rnacentral:rRNA from 1 species